rnacentral:rRNA from 1 species
UACAUGGGGUGCAAACGUUGCUCGGAAUUAUUGGGCGUAAAGCGCGCGUAGGCGGUUACUCAAGUCGGAUGUGAAAGCCCUCGGCUUAACUGAGGAAGUGCACCCGAAACUGAGUAGCUAGAGUACUAAAGAGGGUCGCGGAAUUCCCGGUGUAGAGAUGAAAUUCGUAGAUAUCGGGAGGAACACCGGUGGCGAAGGCGGCGACCUGGGUAGAUACUGACGCUGAGGCGCGAAAGCGUGGGGAGCAAACAGG